UCUCCUCCUAAGAAACCCAGUUUUAGAGAAGAAAAUGAAAGCUCUUCCAUGUAUCUUCUUGAACGUUGUAGAACGAGCAUUGCAGCAUAAAUCACCCAAAAUUCAUCAGCUCUGACAUAUCAUCAAAGAAGAGGAAAGACUUCUAAUGAGUCAUCUGGAUGUUGCUGGCAGAGGUGAGGCAUCAAGAGGUUCAAGAGGUCUUCAGACGAUCCCUGGUUUUUCCAUCUACCAAGGAUGGAUAAGGCUGAGGAUAUAAUUAAGUUAUGUGGGGCCACAUGACUAGUUCUGGUCAAUGGGCUGUGAAUGGAUUGGACACCUGUUACUCCUGGGCCAAAGUGUAGAAG